rnacentral:lncRNA from 1 species
UGAGCAUAACCACAUGGAUUUCAUUCCUGGUGGACCUAAAAUCUGAGAGCCGUGGCUGUGGAGAGAAACUGCUACUUGGGAAUAAAAAUAGCCAGGCCACUUGCUCUGCUCCUGCUCUAUCUUCAAGUGGAAUUCCCUACAAAAUGCAGAUGGGCAGAAUUGGAAAAUCAGCAAAAGCAGAGAGGCUGACUGUUGUGGAAGUACCAUGGGGCGAGAGUGCCCUGGCUAAUAGGGGCUUUCUAUAAGACACAAGAAAUAACAAGAUCUGAUGUUUGGAAACAUCAUUCCCCUAUUCUUUCAUCCCACUGAUGAAGCAGAUGAGAGCCCUGACCCUCCCCUGGCGCUCCUCACAUGUACAGAGUACAGCUGGCCACUAAGCUGCUGGAUGAUUGCUGCUGAAGCUACGACACCUGACAAGCAGGCAGAAAUUGUAGGUGACAACAAAUGGGAAAAUUCACAGCAGCUCCAGGAAGGAGCAAUCAACAGGGCAGAUGUGAUACCUACCAUCCUCAUAGGAUGUAGAAGUGGAGCUCAUAGAGUCAUUUAUGUUGGCAAAGACCUUCAAGAUCACCAGGAAUAA